rnacentral:lncRNA from 1 species
UCUCAUGCCCCUUCAACGCCGGGUUUCUUUUGAUUAACUAUUGGUAUAUUUCCUCUUAAUGCCAACAGCAGCCUCCUCUGCUCAUCUCUCCCGCUGCCCCCAUCAGAAAAUCCAUAACCACAACCUUUCCCAGCCUUUAAGCUGCCUCUGGAGAGUCAGGGAAGCCAAUGGCAUCAUUGUUCACGCGGCAACUGUGCUGCACCUCGUUGUGCAAAAGCUUGGUGGGCGUCCGUGACUUCAGGAGCCCGUGAGAAGGGGAAGCCGUCGGUAUUGUGCCUCAUGCCAAAGAACCGGACUACCCACCAGGGACAGUUACUUGUCUUUUACAAUAUCCAGGAAGUGCCCUUCAUCACAGACGCUGAAGUUUGACUGUGGCCUUAUGCGGUACAUUGUACUGACAUAUUUUCUCAUGGGAACUGUUGGGCUAGUUCAGGCAAGUAUCUGCAAUGCUUAAACAGACAGUUUCAGGCUGGAGAAUUUAAGAGACAACCAAAUAGAGUUUUAAUGCCCUGUAAGAUAAUAACGAAAGACAUUUAUGAAAAAAAAAAUUCCAGUUAGUUUGAAAGCCAGGGCCCGCACUCCAUAUUUUGACAGCAGAUGGAUGGCUAGCUUGACUGAUCCUGGUUUACUUUCUGACUUGAAUUUGUCCCCUAGUCCAGUGAAAUCAUAAGGGCUCCCUUCAAUCUGGUUAAUGUUCAGAACCAAUGUUUGAGUUUUAGACUAAUUAAGGGGCAACCACUGACAUUUUUUCUAUAAUGUGAAGACUGGUGCCAGCAGUAACUCAGUGAGAUUUAACAUAAAAGCCAGAUAAAACAAUUAAAGUGGAAGAAUAUUUGAUUAAGUGGAUCACUGAUUUAUAGUGAGGUAAAUUGAAAUUGAAAGGAGAGUGAACUUUUUAUGGCAAUCAUAUAUUACGUUCAUUAUCAGAGACUCUGGAUCCUUUGUGCUUUUGUGAUUUAAAAAGAAAUAAACCAGUUUAAGGAGAGUCAUCCUGGC